UACGUAGGGGGGCAAGCGUUGUCCGGAAUCAUUGGGCGUAAAGGGUGCGUAGGCGGCGCGGUAAGUCGGGUGUGAAAUCUCGGAGCUUAACUCCGAAACUGCAUUCGAUACUGCCGUGCUUGAGGACUGGAGAGGAGACUGGAAUUUACGGUGUAGCAGUGAAAUGCGUAGAUAUCGUAAGGAAGACCAGUGGCGAAGGCGGGUCUCUGGACAGUUCCUGACACUGAGACACGAAGGCCAGGGGAGCAAACGGGAUU
rnacentral:rRNA from 1 species